rnacentral:rRNA from 1 species
UAGAGUUUGAUCCUGGCUCAGGAUGAAACGCUGGCGGCGUGCCUAUACAUGCAAGUCGAACGCACAGCGAAAGGUGCUUGCACCUUUCAAGUGAGUGGCGAACGGGUGAGUAACACGUGGAUAACCUACCUCAAGGUUGGGGAUAACAUUUGGAAACAGAUGCUAAUACCGAAUAAAACUUAGUAUCGCAUGAUACCAGGUUAAAAGGCGCUACGGCGUCACCUAGAGAUGGAUCCGCGGUGCAUUAGUUAGUUGGUGGGGUAAAGGCUUACCAAGACAAUGAUGCAUAGCCGAGUUGAGAGACUGAUCGGCCACAUUGGGACUGAGACACGGCCCAAACUCCUACGGGAGGCUGCAGUAGGGAAUCUUCCACAAUGGGCGAAAGCCUGAUGGAGCAACGCCGCGUGUGUGAUGAAGGCUUUCGGGUCGUAAAGCACUGUUGUAUGGGAAGAACAGCUAGAGUAGGGAAUGACUUUAGUUUGACGGUACCAUACCAGAAAGGGACGGCUAAAUACGUGCCAGCAGCCGCGGUAAUACGUAUGUCCCGAGCGUUAUCCGGAUUUAUUGGGCGUAAAGCGAGCGCAGACGGUUAAUUAAGUCUGAUGUGAAAGCCCGGAGCUCAACUCCGGAAAGGCAUUGGAAACUGGUUAACUUGAGUGCAGUAGAGGUAAGUGGAACUCCAUGUGUAGCGGUGGAAUGCGUAGAUAUAUGGAAGAACACCAGCGGCGAAGGCGGCUUACUGGACUGUAACUGACGUUGAGGCUCGAAAGUGUGGGUAGCAAACAGGAUUAGAUACCCUGGUAGUCCACACCGUAAACGAUGAACACUAGGUGUUAGGAGGUUUCCGCCUCUUAGUGCCGAAGCUAAC